UACGGAGGGAGCGAGCGUUGUCCGAAGUUACUGGGCGUAAAGCGCGCGUAGGCGGGGAAUUAAGUGAGAAGUGAAAGGCUGGGGCUCAACCUCAUGCAGUGCUUCUCAUACUGGUUCUCUUGAGGGCGGUAGGGAGAAGUGGAAUGGCUGGUGUAGCGGUGAAAUGCGCAGAUAUCAGGAAGAACACCAAUGGCGAAGGCAGCUCUCUGGGACGGUACUGACGCUGAGACGCGAAAGCGUGGGGAGCGAACAGG
rnacentral:rRNA from 1 species